AUUGAACGCUGGCGGCAGGCCUAACACAUGCAAGUCGAGCGGAGCGGCGGACGGGUGAGUAAUGCCUAGGAAUCUGCCUGGUAGUGGGGGAUCACGUCCGGAAACGGGCGCUAAUACCGCAUACUAUCAGAUGAGCCUAGGUCGGAUUGGCUAGUUGGUGGGGUAAAGGCAUACAAAGGCGACGAUCCGUAACUGGUCUGAGAGUAUGAUCAGUCACACUGGAAAGGAGCAAGGGUCCAGACUCCUACGGGAGGCAGCAGGGGGGAAUAUUGGACAAUGGGCGAAAGCCUGAUCCAGCCAUGCCGCGUGGGUGAAGAAGGUCUUCGGAUUGUAAAGCACUUUAAGUUGGGAGGCGGUACCAACAGAAUAAGCACCGGCUAACUUCGUGCCAGCAGCCGCGGUAAUUC
rnacentral:rRNA from 1 species